rnacentral:tRNA from 1 species
GGUUUGUGGCUCAGUGGUAGAGCGCUCACCUUUCAUGUGCGAGGCCCUGAGUUCCAUCCUCAACACCA